GUGGGGAAUCUUCCGCAAUGGACGAAAGUCUGACGGAGCAACGCCGCGUGAGUGAUGAAGGUCUUCGGAUUGUAAAGCUCUGUUAAUCGGGACGAAAGAGCCUAGUGUGAAUAAUGCUAGGAAGUGACGGUACCGGAAUAGAAAGCCACGGCUAACUACGUGCCAGCAGCCGCGGUAAUACGUAGGUGGCAAGCGUUGUCCGGAAUUAUUGGGCGUAAAGCGCGCGCAGGCGGAUCUGCCAGUCUGUCUUAAAAGUUCGGGGCUUAACCCCGUGAUGGGAUGGAAACUACAGAUCUAGAGUAUCGGAGAGGAAAGUGGAAUUCCUAGUGUAGCGGUGAAAUGCGUAGAUAUUAGGAAGAACACCAGUGGCGAAGGCGACUUGCUGGGCAGCAACUGACGCUGAGGCGCGAAAGCCAGGGGAGCAAACGGGAUUAGAAACCCGGGUUAGUCC
rnacentral:rRNA from 1 species